CAAUAAACAAACGCGCACAUUAACUGCUAACGCUGGCUGACAUUUGUAGAGCAUUUCACAGUUUACAAAGGUCUUCCACAUGAAUUGCCUCAUAUGAUCCUCACAGCUACCCCUGUAAGGAAGAAGACGACUGAGGCCCCUAAGGGAUGGCAGAGCCAGCAGUGGAAGGAACCAGAGUCCCAGAAUCACCAUGUGGAAGAAGCUACCUCCACUGAGGAACAUUCUUCUUUGAUACAAGAGCAAUGAACAAACUUCUGGGGGGUUAAGUUGCCGGAAACUGAGGGUUCAUUUGUUACAGUAACUAGCACUGUAUUAACUAAUACAGGAGUACACACA